rnacentral:rRNA from 1 species
GAGUUUGAUCGUGGCUCAGAUUGAACGCUGGCGGCAGGCCUAACACAUGCAAGUCGAGCGUGAAAGGGCUUCGGCCUGAGUAAAGCGGCGGACGGGUGAGUAACGCGUAGGAAUCUACCUAGUAGUGGGGGAUAACGUUCCGAAAGGAACGCUAAUACCGCAUACGUUCUGAGGAAGAAAGCAGGGGAUCGCAAGACCUUGCGCUAUUAGAUGAGCCUGCGUCCGAUUAGCUAGUUGGUGGGGUAAAGGCCUACCAAGGCGACGAUCGGUAACUGGUCUGAGAGGAUGAUCAGUCACACUGGAACUGAGACACGGUCCAGACUCCUACGGGAGGCAGCAGUGGGGAAUAUUGGACAAUGGGGGCAACCCUGAUCCAGCCAUGCCGCGUGUGUGAAGAAGGCC